rnacentral:lncRNA from 1 species
UCCAGCAACCCAAAGUUGACUGGGAGACGAUGUCCUAGACCUCUCACGAACUUGCCACACCAUCCUCCAUGCUCCUCAUCAUGCGGUACAUGUUCUUGACCUGUGGGGGGUGUGAGACAGCAAAAGUGAGCUCACAUACAUUCAUCGCUCAACAAGUUGUGGGGAAUAAUGUGCAUGAACUCGCCAAAGGUGGGUGCUCAUGUGAAGUGUAAGGCUUACCAAAGAGGAUGGUUAAAGCUGAGCAUUGCUUUUAAAGUUGGUCAAAAUUUUAUUAGCAAUUUAUAAGUGUAAGUAUAUACCAACCCAAAUAAGUAAUAGAUCAAAAUUUGAUAACAACACCUACGAUGCAAUGCAUAUGACAAAUUGAAUUUAGUUCCAUAAGUUAAUCAUGUGAGUGUCCGAGCCGCUCAUGACCGUGAGCACGACUGAUAUACCAGUUUUACACCCUACAGAGGUUGCACAUCUUUACCAACAAGUCAUGUUACCCAUCUGCCAAGGGAUCGCGACUUCUCAUACACCUCUACCAAGGAAGCGAGGCAGGGUAACACUACAAGGCCUUUACAAAGUUCCACUAGCUUCACAAAACCCGCUACAGUUUCUAGGAAGCUCCAAUGUAGGGAUCCCUCGCCUGACCGCCAUCGUAGCAAAAUCAACCCAAGGACCUCCCUACACUAACCACUCCCCUACUACCCUUGCCGCUAUCGGGUAAGAUAGUCCUCCACUAGCUUUCCUAAUUAGUCAGCCAAGGGCGUCCCAUACCACCCUUGUGGUAGCACUGUUUUCCCGGGUGGAUCUCCAUGUUCAAAUUAACAUAAUGAUCUUAUCAUGAACAGUAAAUAACAAAGUGAUAAUAAAAGUAUGAUCAUGAAUAAUGUGUAUCUCCAUACCCAAAACCACAUAAAGCAAUAAUAGGUACUACCCAAAAAUUCAGUGGUAAACAAGGUAUAAAGAUAGCCAAACUAGGGUAACCUAUUGGGUCCCCUCAAAAUUAACCUAUGCAGAUCAUUAUGAUUAAUAAGAACAUGAUUGGGUAAAAAGAAGUGAUCAAGGGCACAACUUUCCUGGGACUUGAGAUUCCAGGUAUCAGGAUGAUCUUCAGAUGACUCGUAACCUCGCGCUAGUCGUAGAAAUACAAACAAACAGUGUAUAGGAAAAAUUAACAUCACACCAAACAUAAUAAAUUCUCCAAGGUUUUCAAAAAUUCUAGAAAUACUAUCAUAAAUAUAUCUUUUUCUUUAUUUUAUUAUUCAUUUCUUUUUCUACAAAUUUUGGGCUUUACAAAUCGUACCCCCUUAACAGAAAUCUUGUCCUCGAGAUUUGUAAGAGAAAGGAUGUAUACACAUAUUGUCUUAGAACAUAUGCACAAACAAGAACCUCAUCAUGAUGCAUAACUUAUUAGCAACACAUAGAGUCAAAUAGACCUUAUUAUUAUUCCUAAAAUAGUACAAUACUAGCUACUAACUAAAGUAAUUUUUUAGGUCUUACAAAUAUUAUUCUAAAUUUAUAUAUAUAUAUAUAUAUAUAUUAUAUAGUUAUAUGUAUUCUACUCCUGUUGUUCAUUGCCUUCUUCAUCAACUUUUUCACCUUCAACCAACAUUUAUUCUUGGUUUUCAGGUUAACCAGGUUCAGCUUCUACUUCUGCAUGGUUGACCUGACCCCGGUUGACAGAUAAGGGCUGACUCUUGCCUGCUGAAGUCUGUCCUUGCUUCAUUGGAGCCUGUAACACCCCGUCCAAUCCCUGGACCGGCAGUACUUACUCCUGGCAGCUCUCUAGGAUUAUAUAUUGUCCCCACAGACCAACACGAGUUUUUUGUGCACACUUUCUCCUCACUCAUGCGCACCCGAGAAAACUUACCGGUCGGUCACCCAUCCCAAAUUGCUCCAAGCCAAGCACGCUUAACUUGGAGAUUAUUUUGAGAUAGGCUUCCGAAAAAGAUGCACCUUGUUGGUGUAAAUACUCUAUUAAUUCUAUUAAGCCUUGGGCCAGGAUAUCCCAUCCUAGGGGCCAAGAUAUCACAAUCCACCCCUUAGAAGACCGACGUCCUCGUCGGUCAACCCAAAUUCAGGAACCUCCCCUCUUAGCUACGUCUGUGUGUCUAGUGUCGUCAUAUGCCAUGCCAUGUGACCACUCCGGCCCAUAUACGUCUGUGUGUCUAGUGUCGUCAUAUGCCAUGCCAUGUGACCACUCCGGGCCCAUAUACGCCAUGUGCCAUAUACUCGAACCCCCUAGCCGACACACGCCUCCUGGCAGCUCUCUAGGAUCAUAUGUUGUCCCCACAGACCAACACGAGUCUUUUGUGCGCACUUUGUCCUGACUCAUGCGCACCCGAGAAAACUUCCCAGUCGGUCACCCAUCCCGAAUUGCUCUAAGCCAAGCACGCUUAACUUGGAGGUUCUUUCGAGAUAAGCUUCCGAAAAAGAAGAUGCACCUUGUUGAUAUGAUUACUCUAUUAAUUCUAUUAAGCCUUGGGCCAGGAUUAUAACACCCCGAAAAUUCAUACUAUAUUGAGAAGAUGAAAACUCCCCACAGUUAUUAAGAAAACAACUCUAGGGUGCUACUAGAACUACACUGUUAUGCCAAAAUAGAUUGAAUUUUGACACAUCACCUCUAAGACAAAGCAAAAGCACUAAUUAAAAAAAAGGUAAAACAAGCUAGUUAAAGACUUCUCUUCCAUUCACUUAAAUUAGUAGCAAGCCAAACGUCGGUUAAAGUGUCAUCUAUGUGUGUGAAGUGCAGCUACUCCCAUCCCUCGAGCAGACAUAUCCAAUUAGCACACCUGAAAAGACUGUGAGGGGUGAGAAUAAAUCUCAGCAAGUAAAUUGUUUCGACAAGUUAUUUAAAUCACAAGUUAAAUUAAUCAACAACUUAAAAAUAUAUAAUUGAUAAGAGGGAUACUUCAAUAUAAAUCUGCAAGAUAGUACUUCACAUUCUGAUCAAAUCAAUAUAAUAUUCCCCUUGCAUAUUGAAAGGGAAAUAGGCUUACACCUUUUCCUAAUUGAUUUUGCUGGUUGAAUUGCCCAACACAAAUAAUUGGACUAACUAGUUUGCUCUAGAUUAUAUGUUCUACAGGUGCCAAAGGUUCAACUACAACUAUACUAAAUCGACUGUCCGGAAUACCGUAGAUUAUUCCGGACAGGAGAAGCUUUUUGGAAAGUCAGGCCAAGCGCGGACCGUCCGCGACACCUAAAUGACCCUCGGACAGAACCAAUGCAAAAACACAUGUCUCUACUGCGGACCGUCCGAUGGAAGAGCAAGCACCGUCCGAGACCACGCGCGGACCGUCCGGGCUCAGGCGCGGACCGUCCGGUAGGUGAGGAACCGAAAAACCCGAAGGUGACGGGUUUAGCCAAAUGAAUUAUAGCGUCCUCGCGGACCGUCCGGGGUGCACGACCGGACCGUCCGCGACUGGCUUUAUUUGACAUCUGACAUCACAUUAAAUGCAAUAUAGCCGUUGAUAUAGCCGUUACUGCUGACCGUUGCGUUUUCAGCCGUUGAUCUGCAGGGGCGGACCGUCCGGUCUAGGCGGGCGGACCGUCCGCGUUUGGCAGAAUGGAGCAACGGCUAGGAAGUGGUUGGUGGCUAUAAAUACAACCCCAACCACCUCCAUUCACUUCAUCCAAGCAUUCCAACCUUCAACAUUCAAUACAAGAGCUAGCAAUCCAUUCCAAGACACAAUCAAGCCUCCAAUCUCUCCAAGUUCCACAAUUGAGACAAGUGAUCAUUAGUGAUUAGUGACUUGCGAGAGAGAGUGAUCCGUGUGUUAUUUGUCGCUCUUGUCGCUUGGCUUUUGCAAUCGUGCUUUCUUCCUUCCCAUUCUUAUUCUCAAGGCACUUGUAAUCAAAGCAAGAGGCACUAAGUUUGUAGUGGUCCUUGUGGGGUCUAAGUGACCCGUUUGAUUAAGGAGAAAGCUCACUCGGUCUAAGUGACCGUUUGAGAGAGGGAAAGGGUUGAAAGAGACCCGGUCUUUGUGACCACCUCAACGGGGAGUAGGUUUGCUAGAAACGAACCUCGGUAAAACAAAUCAUCGUGUCUCGUUCUUUAUUUGCUCACAAUUUGUUUUGCGCCCUCUCUCUCUCGGACUCGUUUACAUUUCUAACGCUAACUCGGCUUGUAGUUGUGCUUAAGUUUAUAAAUUUCAUAUUUGCCCUAUUCACCCCCCACUAGGCGUCUUUCAAUUAGUAUCAAAGCCCGGUGCUUCAUUAGAGCCUAACCGCUCGAAGUGAUGUCGGGAACAACCGCCAAGAGGGAUCUUGGGAUCGGCGACAAGUCCACAAGCUCGGGAAGAACACACUCAAGGGAGUCCGCCCACAAGCACAAGGAGGAAUCCUCUUCCUCCAUCAAGUCCCAUCGGAUGGGUGACAAGAAGAAGAAGAUGAGAAAGGUGGUCUACUACAAGACCGACUCUUCGUCACCCUCCACCUCCGGCUCGGAAUCGGCCUCCACCACUUCAAAGCGCCAUGAGCGCAAGAAGUAUAGUAAGAUGCCCCUUCGCUAUCCUCGCAUUUCUAGACGCACUCCAUUACUCUCCGUUCCAUUAGGCAAACCACCUAUGUUUGAAGGUGAAGAUUAUUCAAUGUGGAGUGAUAAAAUGAGGCAUCACCUAACCUCACUCCACAAAAGUAUAUGGGAUAUUGUUGAGUAUGGAGUACAGGUACCAAAGAAGGGAGACAAGGAUUACGACUCGGAGGAGGUCGAGCAAAUCCAACACUUCAACUCCCAAGCCACAACUAUACUCCUCGCCUCUCUAAGUCGAGAGGAGUAUAAUAAGGUGCACGGGUUGAAGAGCGCAAAGGAGAUUUGGGACGUGCUAAAGACCGCACACGAAGGAGACGAGGUGACCAAGAUCACCAAGCGGGAGGCGAUCGAGGGGGAGCUCAGUCACUUCCGGCUUCGCCAAGGGGAGGAACCACAAGACAUGUACAACCGGCUCAAAACCUUGGUGAACCAAGUGCGCAACCUCGAGAGCAAAAAAUGGGAUGACCACAAAAUGGUUAAGGUUAUUCUUAGAUCACUUGUUUUCCUUAACCCUACUCAAGUUCAAUUAAUUCGUGGUAAUCCUAGAUAUACACUAAUGACUCCCGAGGAAGUUAUAGGGAAUUUUGUGAGCUUUGAAUUGAUGAUCAAAGGCUCAAAGAAAAUCAUCGAGCUAGAUGGCCCCUCCACGCCCGAAGCACAACCGGUCGCAUUCAAGGCGACGGAGGAGAGGAAGGAGGAGUCUACAUCAAGUAGACAACCCAUCGACGCCUCUAAGCUCGACAACGAGGAAAUGGCGCUCAUCAUCAAGAGCUUCCGCCAAAUCCUCAAACAAAGGAAGGGGAAAGAUUACAAGCCCCGUUCCAAGAAGGUGUGCUACAAAUGUGGUAAGCCCGGUCAUUUCAUUGCUAAAUGUCCUCUAUCUAGUGAUAGUGACAGGGGCGACGACAAGAAGGGCAAGAGGAGAGAAAAGAGAAGGUAUUACAAGAAGAAGGGCGGCAAUGCCCAUGUGUGCCGCGAGUGGGACUCCGACGAGAGCCCCUCCGACUCCUCAUCCGACGAGGACGCCGCCAACAUCGCCGUCACCAAAGGGAUCCUCUUCCCCAACGUCGGCCACAAAUGUCUCAUGGCAAAGGACGGCAAAAGGAAGAAGGUAAAAUCAAAAUCCUCCACUAAAUAUGAAACCUCUAGUGAUGAGGAUAAUUGUAGUGAUGAGGAGGAUAACUUACGCACCCUUUUUGCCAACCUAAACAUGCAACAAAAGGAAAAACUAAAUGAAUUAAUUAGUGCUAUUCAUGAGAAGGAUGAUCUCUUGGACUCUCAAGAGGACUUCCUAAUUAAAGAAAACAAGAAGCAUGUUAAGGUUAAGAAUGCUUAUUCUCUAGAAGUAGAAAAAUGUGAAAAACUAUCUAGUGAGCUAAGCACUUGCCAUGAUGUUAUUACCAACCUUAGAAAUCAGAAUGCUAAUUUAAUUGCUAAGGUUGAUUCAAAUGUUUGUGAUGUUUCAAUUCCCAAUCUUAGAAAUGAUAAUGUUGAUUUGCUUGCUAAGAUUGAAGAAUUGAAUAUCUCUCUUGCUAGCCUUAGGAUUGAAAAUGAAAAACUAAUUACUAAGGCUAAAGAAUUAGAUGUUUGCAAUGCUUCCAUUUCUAACCUUAGAAGUGAAAUGACAUAUUACAUGUUAAGGUUGUUGAAUUAAAAUCUUGCAAACCCUCUACAUCUACCGCUGAGCAUGUUACUAUUUGUACUAGAUGUAGAGAUAUUAACAUUGAUGCUAUUCAUGAUCAUAUGGCUUUAAUUAAACAACAAAAUGAUCAUAUAGCAAAACUAGAUGCUAAAAUUGCCGAGCAUGACUUAGAAAAUGAAAAAUUUAAAUUUGCUCGAAGCAUGCUCUAUAGUGGGAGACGCCCUGGCAUCAAGGAUAGCAUUGGCUUCCAAAAGAGGGACAAUGUCAAACUUAAUGCCACUCCUAAAAGAUUGUCUAAUUUUGUUAAGGGCAAGGCUCCCAUGCCUCAGGAUAACGAGGGUUACAUUUUGUACCCUGCCGGUUAUCCCAAGAGCAAAAUUAGGAGAAUUCAUUCUAGGAAGUCUCACUCUGGCCCUAAUCAUGCUUUUAUGUAUAAGGGUGAGACAUCUAGUUCUAGGCAAUCAAUCCAUGCAAAAUUGCCUAAAAAGAAAACUCCUAAGGCAUCAAAUGAUUCUAACAUUUCAUUUAAGACCUUUGAUGCUUAUUAUGUUUUAACUAACAAAUCCGGCAAGAUAGUUGCCAAGUAUGUUGGGGGCAAGCACAAGGGGUCAAAGACUUGUGUUUGGGUACCCAAAGUUCUUGUGUCUAAUGUCAAAGGACCAAAAACCAUUUGGGUACCUAAAAUCAAGAACUAAAUUUGUUUUGUAGGUUUAUGCAUCCGGGGGCUCAAGUUGGAUCAUAGAUAGCGGAUGCACAAACCACAUGACAGGGGAGAAGAAGAUGUUCUCCUCCUACGAGAAAAACCAAGAUCCCCAACGAGCUAUCACAUUCGGGGAUGGAAAUCAAGGUUUGGUCAAAGGAUUGGGUAAAAUUGCUAUAUCUCCUGACCAUUCUAUUUCCAAUGUUUUUCUUGUAGAUUCUUUAGAUUACAAUUUGCUUUCCGUAUCUCAAUUAUGCAAAAUGGGCUACAACUAUCUUUUCACAGAUGUAGGUGUUACUGUCUUUAGAAGGAGUGAUGAUUCAAUAGCAUUUAAGGGAGUGUUAGAGGGUCAGCUAUACUUAGUAGAUUUUGAUAGAGCUGAAAUCGACACUUGCUUAAUUGCUAAGACUAACAUGGGCUGGCUCUGGCAUCGCCGACUAGCACAUGUUGGAAUGAAGAAUCUUCACAAACUUCUAAAGGGAGAACACAUUUUGGGACUAACAAAUGUUCAUUUUGAGAAAGACAGGAUUUGUAGCGCAUGUCAGGCAGGGAAGCAAGUUGGUGUUCAUCAUCCACACAAGAACAUCAUGACUACUGACAGGCCACUCGAGCUCCUACACAUGGACCUAUUCGGCCCGAUAGCUUACAUAAGCAUCGUCGGGAGUAAGUACUGUCUAGUUAUUGUGGAUGAUUAUUCUCGCUUCACUUGGGUGUUCUUUUUGCAGGAAAAAUCUCAUACCCAAGAAACCUUAAAGGGAUUCUUGAGACGGGCUCAAAAUGAGUUCGGCUUAAGGAUCAAGAAAAUUAGAAGCGACAAUGGGACGGAGUUCAAGAACUCAUAAAUCGAAGGCUUCCUUGAGGAGGAGGGCAUCAAGCAUGAGUUCUCUUCUCCCUACACGUACAACAAAAUGGUGUAGUGGAGAGGAAGAAUCGAACUCUAUUGGACAUGGCAAGAACCAUGCUUGAUGAGUACAAGACUUCGGAUCGGUUUUGGGCCGAGGCGGUCAACACCGCUUGCUACGCCAUCAACCGGUUGUAUCUACACCGAAUCCUCAAGAAGACAUCGUAUGAACUCCUAACCGGUAAAAAGCCCAAUGUUUCAUAUUUUAGAGUCUUUGGUAGCAAAUGCUUUAUUCUUGUUAAAAGAGGUAGAAAAUCUAAAUUUGCUCCUAAGGCUGUAGAAGGCUUUUUACUAGGAUAUGAUUCAAACACAAGGGCAUACAAAGUCUUUAACAAGUCCUCUGGACAAGUUGAAGUUUCUUGUGACAUUGUGUUUGAUGAGACUAACGGCUCUCAAGUAGAGCAAGUUGAUCUUGAUGAGAUAGGUGAUGAAGAGGCUCUGUGCGUCGCGCUAAGGAACAUGUCCAUAGGGGAUGUGUGUCCUAAAGAAUCCGAAGAGCCUUCACAAACACAAGAUCAACCAUCUUCCUCAAUGCAAGCAUCUCCACCAACUCAAGAUGAGGAUGAGGCUCAAAAUGAUGAAGGAGAAGAUCAACGAGUUGAGCCACCUCAAGAGGAGAGCAAUGAUCAAGGGGAAGAUGCCCAUGAUCAAGAUGAGGAAGAUGAACAAGUUCCAAGACCGCCACACCCAAGAGUCCACCAAGCAAUCCAACGAGAUCACCCCGUCGACACCAUCCUCAGCGACAUCCAUAAGGGGGUAACCACUAGAUCUCGUGUUGCACAUUUUUUGUGAGCAUUACUCUUUUGUUUCCUCUAUUGAGCCACACAGGGUAGAGGAAGCACUUCAAGAUUCGGAUUGGGUGGUGGCGAUGCAAGAGGAGCUCAACAACUUCACUAGGAAUGAGGUAUGACAUUUAGUUCCACGCCCUAAUCAAAAUGUUGUAGGAACCAAGUGGGUGUUCCGCAACAAGCAAGACGAGCAUGGUGUGGUGACAAGGAACAAAGCUUGGUUAGCUCUUCAGAAGCAAGGUAUGCCAAUUAGUUCAGAUGGUGUUCUACCGCCCAGCCCACUUCUUCCAUAUUUGAAAGCCUUGUCUUCCUAUUGAUUCCACUCCAAUAAAUCUAUUGCACACCCAGUGGUGAGGUCGGUGAUAACCUAGUAUUAAAGAGCGGAUUCAGCGACUUGUUACACAAAUCAUUGUAAAGUACAGAGAAAAAGGAGAUCUAAAUUGGUCAAUUUCAAACUCCCGCCACAUCCGGGCGAAAGGAGUGGCAGAUAAAUCGAGAAUCCAAUUUCGAAUGAGCAGAGGAAAGGUGUUUUCCCUCGUUUCUCGCUUUGAUUGGCUCAUGGGUGGAUCGAUAGACGAAGCUCUCUCUUUUUCAUCUCGUGCCAGAUGUAACAAAAGAUUAGUCCUUUUUCCUUCUCGCGAACCACGGGAGCGCCCAGCGCCCAGAAGAGCAAAGCUCAUUUUCAAAACUGGGUCAAGCGGCGCAUUAAAAAGGGCUGGCCCGUUAAAAGGACGCUUACUUUGCGAACGAAGUUCAGAAUCAACAAGGGUUCUCCGAACGAAGGGAGUGUACAACUGGGGCGCAGCUCCACUUUUUUGUUGGAGAGAUAGAAUGGAGUUCUUCACGAAGUUCGAGACAAAGGAAAAAAUAAAAGUUUCUCUAUAGCCUCUGCCGACUUGUGGCCAAGGGAUAUUCACAAGUCGAAGGUUUGGAUUUCGGUGAAACCUAUGCACCCGUAGCUAGGCUUGAGUCAAUUCGUAUAUUACUUGCCUAUGCUACUUACCAUGGCUUUAAGCUUUAUCAAAUGGACGUGAAAAGUGCCUUCCUCAAUGGACCAAUCAAGGAGGAGGUCUACGUUGAGCAACCUCCCGGCUUUGAAGAUAGUGAGUACCCUAAUCAUGUUUACAAACUCUCUAAGGCGCUUUAUGGGCUCAAGCAAGCCCCAAGAGCAUGGUAUGAAUGCCUAAGAGAUUUCCUUAUCACUAAUGGCUUCAAAGUCGGAAAGGUCGAUCCUACUUUAUUCACUAAAACUCUUGACAAUGAUUUGUUUGUAUGCCAAAUUUAUGUUGAUGAUAUCAUAUUUGGGUCUACUAACGAAUCUACAUGUGGGGAAUUUAGUAGGAUCAUGACACAGAAAUUCGAGAUGUCUAUGAUGGGGGAGUUGAAAUACUUCUUGGGAUUUCAAGUAAAACAACUCCAAGAGGCACCUACAUUAGCCAAACGAAGUAUAUUCAAGACAUUCUAAACAAGUUUAGGAUGAAGGACGCCAAACCCAUCAAGACACCCAUGGGAACCAAUGGGCAUCUCGACCUCGACACGGGAAGUAAAUCCGUCGAUCAAAAGGUAUAUCGGUCGAUGAUAGGUUCUUUACUCUAUUUAUGUACAUCUCGACCGGAUAUAAUGCUUUCCGUAUGCAUGUGUGCAAGAUUCCAAGCCGACCCUAAGGAAGCUCACCUUACGGCCGUAAAACGAAUCUUGAGAUAUUUGGUUUAUACUCCUAAGUUUGGGCUUUGGUACCCUCGAGGAUCCACAUUUGAUUUAAUUGGUUAUUCGAAUGCCGAUUGGGCGGGGUGUAAGAUUAAUAGAAAGAGCACAUCAGGGACUUGCCAGUUCUUGGGAAGAUCCUUGGUGUCUUGGGCUUCAAAGAAGCAAAAUUCUGUAGCUCUUUCUACCGCCGAAGCCGAGUAUAUUGCCGCAGGCCAUUGUUGCGCGCAACUACUUUGGAUGAGGCAAACCCUUAGGGACUAUGGUUACAAAUUAACCAAAGUUCCUCUUCUAUGUGAUAAUGAGAGUGCAAUCCGCAUGGCGGAUAAUCCUGUUGAGCAUAGCCGCACUAAACACAUAGCCAUUCGGUAUCAUUUCUUAAGGGAUCACCAACAAAAGGGAGAUAUCGAGAUUGCAUAUAUUAACACUAAAGAACAAUUAGUCGAUAUCUUUACCAAGCCACUAGAUGAACAAACUUUUAACAAACUUAGGCAUGAGCUAAAUAUUCUUGAUUCUAGAAAUUUCUUUUGAUAUUUUGCACACAUAGCUUAUGAAUGUACCUUUGAUCAUAUCUCUUUUAUAUACUAUGACUAAUGUGCUUUCAAGUGAAUGUCAAAACCCAGUCAUAGGUGUAUUGAAAGGGAAUUGGAGUCUUCGGCGAAGAUAAAGGCUUCCACUCCACUCCAUAACUCAUCUUUCGCCGUCGCUCCGAGCAACUCUCCAACUUUGGUAUAAUCUUCACUCAUAUAUUGUUUGCCAAAGGAGGAGAAAGUAGUUGAAAGGGCUUAUAUUUCACUCAAAGUAUCCGUUUUUGGUGAUUCAUGCCAAAGGGGGAGAAAGUAUUAGCCCAAAGCAAAAGGACCGCACCACCACCUUAUUUGAAAAAGGGAGUUUUUAAAAUUGGUAUCUUAUUAUGUUCAAAAGGGAAAGAAAGUAGUGUUUUUCAAAAAUGUAUCUUAAAACCCUCUUGAACACUAAGAGGAGAAUUUUAUUGAGGGGGAGUUUUGUUUAGUCAAAAGAAAAGCAUUUGAAACAGGGGUAGAAAAUUUCAAAUCUUAAAAAUGCUUCUCAAAAUCUUAUUCAUUUACCUUUGACUAUUUGCAAAAGGACUUUGAAAAGAAUUUACAAAAGAAUUUGCAAAAACAAAACAUGUGGUGCAAGCGUGGUCCAAAAUGUUGAAAAUAAAAGAAACAUUCCAUGCAUAUCUUAGGAUAAUUUAUUGGUUCAAUUCUUGGUAACCUUUGCACUUACAUUAUGCAAACUAGUUUAAUUGUGCACUUCUAUAUUUGCUUUGGUUUGUGUUGGCAUCAAUCACCAAAAAGGGGGAGAUUGAAAGGGAAAUAGGCUUACACCUUUUCCUAAUUGAUUUUGGUGGUUGAAUUGCCCAACACAAAUAAUUGGACUAACUAGUUUGCUCUAGAUUAUAUGUUCUACAGGUGCCAAAGGUUCAACUACAACUAUAUUAAAUCGACUGUCCGGAAUACCGUAGAUUAUUCUGGACAGGAGAAGCUUUUUGGAAAGUCAGGCCAAGCGCGGACCGUCCGGGCCUUUGCGGUGGACCGUCCGCGACACUAAAUGACCCUCGAACAGAACCAAUGCAAAAACACAUGUCUCUACUGCGGACCGUCCGAUGGAAGAGCAAGCAUCGUCCGAGACCACGCGCGGACCGUCCGGGCUCAGGCGCGGACCGUCCGGUAGGUGAGGAACCGAAAAACCCGAAGGUGACGGGUUCGGCCAAAUGAAUUAUAGCGUCCUCGCGGACCAUCCAGGGUGCACGACCGGACCGUUCGCGACUGGCUUUAUCUGACAUCUGACAUCGCAUUAAAUGCAAUAUAGCCAUUGAUAUAGCCGUUGCUGCUGACCGUUGCGUUUUCAGCCGUUGAUCUGCAGGGGCGGACCGUCCGGUCCAGGCGGGCGGACCGUCCGCGGUUGGCAGAAUGGAGCAACGGCUAGGAAGUGGUUGGUGGCUAUAAAUACAACCCCAACCACCUCCAUUCACUUCAUCCAAGCAUUCCAACCUUCAACAUUCAAUACAAGAGCUAGCAAUCCAUUCCAAGACACAAUCAAGCCUCCAAUCUCUCCAAGUUCCACAAUUGAGACAAGUGAUCAUUAGUGAUUAGUGACUUGAGAGAGAGAGUGAUCCGUGUGUUAUUUGUCGCUCUUGUCGCUUGGCUUUUGCAAUCGUGCUUUCUUCCUUCCCAUUCUUAUUCUCAAGGCACUUGUAAUCAAAGCAAGAGACACUAAGUUUGUAGUGGUCCUUGUGGGGUCUAAGUGACCUGUUUGAUUAAGGAGAAAGCUCACUCGGUCUAAGUGACCGUUUGAGAGAGGGAAAGGGUUGAAAGAGACCCGGUCUUUGUGACCACCUCAACGGGAAGUAGGUUUGCAAGAACCGAACCUCGGUAAAACAAAUCAUCGUGUCUCGCUCUUUAUUUGCUCACGAUUUGUUUUGCGCCCUCUCUCUCGGACUCGUUUACAUUUCUAACGCUAACCCGGCUUGUAGUUGUGCUUAAGUUUAUAAAUUUCAGAUUCACCCUAUUCACCCCCCCUCUAGGUGACUUUCACAUAUCACUUCACUUUCAUAAUAUAAUUUUCAUGGAUUAAUAUUCAAUGAGUGCAUAUGAAUGCAAUGCAUACUUCCUUCUGCCUGCUUACCCAACAAGGUAUGGAGCUACAUCCGAAGAUGUUGUACUAGUACGGUUGGACCAUAGGUAACGACAUAACUUCAAUGAAAAUGCAUUAUGAUAUGCAUAUGAUAUGCUACAAUUAUCAUUAUAUACUUCGAUAUUACUUUAAUUCAUUCAAAACGUGAUACGAACCACAUAAAACAUGUGAGAACAAUGACAACAUAGAUUGAUAUAGGAUUACAAUAAUACUUCAUUAAAAUUCAAAAGAUAAUUUAAACCAUUCCAAUUAUUAGUAUUUAAUGGUAAUCUUCAGAUUAUUAAAGUGUAGGUGAUAAAAAAAUAACAAGUCAAAACUGUAGCAAACCACCGCUACAUUUCCAUGCCUUUACCAAUAAGGCGACAAUGAAUUAAGUCUGAUACAGAGCACUGCAACCUGCUGAAAAGCAUUCAACUCAGUACAAACAAUUCACAUAAUAUUUACAAGCAACAAACAUAGCUCUUCUACAGUUCAAACCGAUAACCCAUGAAAACACAUAGAAACUCAUCUGAACAGCAGCAAUUCUGCUUACUUUUUUCUAUAUCUUUGAAAUCAUAAAUACAUUUGCAUCAAAAAUACGCUACAAGAAUUUUUAGUGGCUGAGCUACACCUUUGGUAUUCAGAGCAUACUCAAAUUCUGAUAUUUACUAGUUCAAAAGCUCCCGAGAAUGUAACUAUCAAAGUUCUAUUCAAAACAACAAACAUGCUAGCUUUAAAAUUCUGUAACUUCAGAAAUACCAAGCCAAAUUCAGUGCUCAAGCAUUCCACACAAAUAGUAACUAGUAUACUUCAAAACAUUCUAUAGAUGUCAGUAUUAAAUCGGCCUCUAUGCAAACUGACAAUGCAUCACAAAUCUGAAACUCUUAACUGAACCAGAAUCAGCUGAGUCGAAUGUCUCACUUCACUCCCAUAACUCUCAGCAUAUUGCAGGAAAACAUUCAAAUAACCACACUAUGGAAAGGUCAUAAACUUUAUUUCCAAUGGUUCCAUAGCGAUCAGAACAAAUUCGAUAUAUAAGAUAUUCUAAAAUGCCACCCAAUAUUAAAACUUGUAACUGCAAUUGUAACCUGAUAGAUCACAAUGGCUAGCUUCAUACCUCAUAGCUCUUAGAAUUCUCAUCAGAAAAAUGCCAAUAAGUACUUGAUGGAAAGCUAAUAAAGUACUCUAAAACUUAUACUAUUAUGAGUUUCCUUGAGUCGGAUACAAGGACCUUCAAAAACAUCCUGAUCUGCUACUGCAGAAGACUAACGGACAGAACAGACCAACAACAAUAUUUAGAGAUUCAAAACUCUUGAAAUACGGAAUAGAAUUCUGCGAGUAAAUACUCGUUGGAAAGAAUGUGAAAUUAUCUAAAACUUUCACUAUAACAAGUUCCUCUGAAUCGGCCUCAAAAAAACUUAAAAAACGACCCGAUCUGCUACUUCUACAAACUGAUCAUUCUGAUCUUGACAGGAUUAGGGUUAAACAGGAAUGAUAAACCACAAAAAAAUCAUGGGGAAAGAAGUAAUCCAUCUAUGUAAAUACCUCAAGGAGACCACGACCUCCUCCCUUCUCUCCUUAUUUUCACCUAGCUUUUCCAAAGCCAAGCUGCAGCACAAUUCGAAUAUAAGAACAAGGAGCAGCAAUAUGAGGGUUGGCCACUCCUCCAGACUUCGGUUUUUGUUGGGCAGACCAGAUCUAGCGACAGGAGCAGGCCCCUUCUCUUCUUCUUCAUUUGUUUAGAUAGAUCAGGGAACGGAGGGACAUGACGGCUGGGUAGGGAAGGCUCAUGUGAUACCCAAGAUAACAAGAAACGAUGGUUGCCUCCUAUACCCUAAUGCAAAUCUAACGGCCCAAUAAGAAAUACUCAUUCCUGACUCGUUUGGACCCCAAAUCGUGUGUAUGACUAAUCAAAC